UGGGAAACUUGAACUCUGGGGCUCCACGGAUUCACAUGAACACAACCUAGGUUCUGAGACAUCGAGGAUAAUGGAAGUCUUAUUUAUAUCAACCACAUUAUAAUCCGGGAUCGCUCGCUGGAGAUGAGCCGCGGACUCCGUCCAAACCCUGGCCCGCCGUGAGCAGUUUCACUCACUUGUGUGGGGAUCGUGCACAGGAAGAUGUGGAGGGGGACAGAGGUAUCAGGUCCUGCCGCUGUGAUUUAGAGCGGCUUCAGAAAGAGGCCAGGGACCGAAAGAGCAGGAGACCCCGAGUGGAAGAAUGCCUCCGUCCUUCCUGCUUUUAAACGAUACCGCUGAGGGAACGCCGGGCCGGGACCUGUGAGGGAUAGAUCUGAGAUGUUGAGAGACACACACCAGGGAUUUUUUACUGAGAAAGUCAAAGUGGGGUCAUGUUUUUUAAAGGCUUUGGUCACAUGGGAGCAGAUUCAGGGGCUGCAUCCUUUCAGAUUCAGGCGCUGACAAAUGCGUCCUUCCAUCCCCAAGAAACGAAGGCUCAAACAGAUGGAUCCUUCCAAGGCCAACCUAUCCCAGGAUUCACUGGUUGACCAACCGUUUUUUCAAAGAGGAGCUCCGUCCAUGAUGGAGCGCACAAGGAAUGCAGCGGAUCAUCAGGUCCCCGAGCGCCCCUUUAAAGUGGUGAUGAAUGUGGAGUAGUCCUCCACGAGGUGUAAGGUGAUCAAAGGCGUGGCAAAGGUCUGGACUUGGUUUAUUGGUGAGCGGUGGUCAGCUGACGGGCUCCGGGAUCAAAGAAUUCACUUUACUCAAGGGGCACAUCUGUCUCUUGGGCCAAUCAAUGGCCAGAACUAACUUAGAAUGGGCUGUUCACCCAACUCCUAUGAUAUAUGAUGUUACACAUAAUAUUAUUUUGCCCUUUUUCCCCCUGGAGCCAAAAAUCAGAUGACAGUUGGUUAGAAUUCAACAUUAUGAAACAAUGUGGAUGUUUUUUUGUUCCCUGACAUUAUAGGUGGACAUGUUGGAUUUAGCCAUGAGCUGCAGAAGCAUGAUUAGGUCAAAUUGCAUGGUUAAACCGAAAGGAAAGUUCAGUCCAUGCAUGAGAAGUCGGACGUGUUGAUUCUGGCAAAAUUACAAACUGAGGUAUAGAAUUUAACAGACUUAGAUUAAUUUGAUGAGAAUAUGAUUAUAAGUCAAAACAAACUACCGUAACUGACAGGGUGGAGGAGGGGGAGGAGUUACAGAACAUUGAAAUAGAGCUGGAACCACUUGAGAGCGCAACAACUUUUUUAACACAGACUACAGAACACAGAGAGAAGAAACAAAGACACAACAGGAAUUCUUUUGUCUCUUUUUAUCUUUUCAUGCUGUCUUUUUUAUAUCCCCUUGCUUCCCCUAUGUGUUUUCAACUCUAAACAGACAAACUUGUAUGGUCUAUAUCAACAUUUUUCAAAUUUCAUCUCCUUCUAGAUAGUGAACAGUGUUGCUGCUAAAAUUGUGUGGUAUCCCGUCCUACAUCAACCAGGCUCUGAUUUUCAUUUUCUACCACUUUUACAAUUUUGCUGAAAGCAGCAUUGAUCGAUGUUUAGGCCACUUGCAGCUGUGAUGAUCAGAAGAACAUAUAAAACACCAAGUGCAGACUUCUACCAACAAAAACACAUAUUGUACCUGAGAUUAUUAAAGACAUUUCAACAAUAGCGACAGGAUACAUAGGACUGAGGUUAAAUCCAUACUACUAUUAGUGUGUUUUGGCUUUGUAUCAGUUUUAAUCCCUGUCAAUACUGUAGCGUCACCGUUUACAGACGACACGGAACUUCUUCUCUGUUUAGUAACUUUUAUUAUAGUUCACACGAACAUGUCCAAUUCUAAUUCUAACUGCGUCACAUCACCCCCAACAACUCCCUCCGUCACCCCACUUCCUCAAUGACCCCCAAUCCCCAACAAAACCAGCCAAUGAGAGUCUGAAAUCCCCACAUAACCCCAUCCUAUUGGUCCAAAACAGUCCGAUGUCCCACCCCGAACCCUUCACUGACCCUCAGGAUAUCAGCACGCUCCCUCAACAGGGUGUUUUACUGCACAUACGUCAAAACCAAACAUAAACAUAAACCCAGUCUGUUACAAUACUAAAACACCUGAAUACGCAUAUCACAUGACCACCAACGUACACUGGACAAUGUAAACACUUGUAUCAUUGUAAAACCUUAGCUAACCAAAGCCGACAAGGUCAGCAACACUUGAUUAUCCAUGUUGCGUUCAACACUGGUAGCCAUGUAGAGUUUUCAAACUAAAACAGAGCCAGCAAGGUUGUAGUUCAGUCACCAGGCCAGGUUACUGAGUGCUCUUGCACAAAAGACUAGUCCCAGUGGAUUUCACAGUGAUAACAGCAAGUCAAGGCAAAUGGAAUCGUUAACUCUGCCAUAAAAGCAGACAUAUGGCAGACAGAGCAACGUUGCAGUAGAGGUUAGGCAGUUGUCUGCAUUUGUUUGUUUGUUUGCAGGAUUACGCAAAAACCUACCCGACCGAUUUCAAUGACAUAUUUCUGGAGGGGUGGGGUAUGACCCAAGAAAGCCCCGGUUACAUUUUGAAUCAGAGAAUACAUUUAGGGGACUGGCAUGAAAUUUAUGUGAAUGUUUGUGCAGUUGAUUGAAUUCAGAUGGACCAUUGGGGGAGGUAUGAACUCUACUCACAUUCUAGUUUGGAGAUGUGUUUCUUGCAAUUUUUCUUUUUUCCCCUCUCAGUUCUGUUUUGAUCAAUGAGUUCUGAAGGAAAUAUUUAUCUAGUGGCCAAAUGCGGCACCAUGUUCACCAGCUGCUUGCCAACUUUAGUGCAGGACACUAAGCUGCAAUGAGGUUUAUGAAAGUGUUUUCACUGAAAACAGCUGGAAAUGAGUGUAAUGAGAGCGGUGAGACUAAACAGUAAAGCUGCCAUGAAGCCACUGACACUUAAUUGCUCCCAAGAGCUGAGGGGAAACAUUGAGCUUGGCCAUGACUCUUUGUCACAUUGCUCAUAUAAUCGAUCAGAGCAGACUUUAUACACUUGAAUUCACCAGAGUCGUACACUAAACUAAGAAAUACAUUAACCGACGUGACCCUGCCCUGCAAAUCUCUUUCUUCAUUGUUAACGAGUAAAAAGUCAACGGAGUUCACAGCUGAGGCCUGACACCAUUAUUCUGUCUCUGAAGUCACCGGGCAGGAGGUCAACAGUAGUCAUAAAUGGAGGGUAAAUUUCGCUAAAUGAGCCAUGACAGUAGCCCCCCAAAAACACAUGCUCAGUCCCAAGAAGAAAAGACCCUGUGCAUCCCCUGGAGAAAAAAGUUAAACCUAUUUGCCAGAGUGGGUCAAAGGUCGCCCCCGAUGUGACCCGCACUCUUUGUUUAUUCAGUGGGUCACCACCUGGAUCUGUUUCUAAUUGUGGACGUAGGCCUAAAAUAUGCCUUUGUUACAGUAGGGGGAGGCUGGAGUCAUUUUUUUUAAACAGGUGGGAGGGAAACCAGUUGACAGGCCAGUUCGGUUUGUUUGAUAGCGGAAGGAUUAGUACGUGUGUGGGGGUGUGUGUGUGUAUGUGUGUGUGUGUGUGUGUGUGUGUGUGUGUGUGUGUGUGUGUGUGUGUGUGUGUGACAUUUUAUUACUACUUAAAUCACUUUUGUUUCUCUUUCUGUCUCCCAUUGUUUAAUUUGUCAGCUUCUCUUUCUCCGUCCUGUCUUUCUCUCCCUCUCCUUCCUCAUUGUCCUCGUCUCACUCCCCUGCUGCUCCGAGGUCACUCGUCAUAGUCACUUCUCUCUGGGUAGAAAAAGCAGAGGACGCACAUGAAAGCGUCUCGGUGGGGAGGUGUCCGUCCUUUAGCUUUUCACCAAAUGGCUCGCUGUGCGUCUUCAAAAACACAUCACAUCCCAUUGAGUCCCUCAUUAGACACACACAGCACACACACGCACACACACACACACACACACACACACACAUACACACACACACACACACACACACACACACACACACACUGAAGGGUUAUUAUUUUACUAACUUAACAGCCUGGUCCAUUAACCCACAAUACACGUGAAGUUGUAAAAAAAAAAACCAACACCCUCCACUGGCACUUACAAUGACAGAUCAAUUCACAAAGAUCUCAAGAGCAGGUUUUGAAAGGGUCAACCCUUUGCACACUGUUCCCAUGCAGCACCCAGCAGCAAACAGAGCAGAUUGAACUGAUUUUGAACUCGAACAUGAUCUCUUGAAAAUAUCUGACAAAUUGGGUUUGGGGUACUUCCAGAGUUUGUCUUUCACAUAUGACAAAUGCAGGAUAAUGUCCAUAACAUUCAGGCGAGGGGAGAUGUCUGGGUAGAACAUGUUGGAGUUGGGACAUGAUGCAUGAAUUCCACUUCGGAAAUCACAUGUAUUUGUUUACAUCUCAAUGGCAUUUGUUUCAGCCAUUAUCGCCUUGCAAAAGCUACGGAUGUUGUCGUCUUUCCAAAUUGACAUCUUGGUCGUUGUCUCAUGUGUGAUAAACAUUUCUUUAUUUAUAUAGCACUUCCAAGGCUUCACAAAUUAAAAAAACCUAUGUAAGUGUACAUAUAAAGAAUGAAUAGAAAGUAUGGGAGAGUUUGAUGUAAAGAAAACAUGGCACCUCUUCUUCAUCCUGAUAUAUUUGUACUACUCGUCCAGUUUGUUAGAAAUGUCAUCAACACGCACAGUCCUUGUGCAUUUUCCUUCUGUGUUCUCACAUGGGCUGGAAAUGUAAAAAGGGGUCUGGCAGGACAAGUUCUGGAAGAUGCAACUGAAGGGGACAUUUGCGUUCUCGCGUGCUGUACAGUAAAACGUUCAGACUUCAGUGUAGGUCUGAAAGCAGGCGGUCAACACACAGUAGCUUCGUUGCCUCCGUUUCAUUUCUUCCACUUUGAAGUUGCUGUACACAAGUACAUGGAGGUGUUGUAGCUGCAACUUAAAGUUAAAAGUUGACUGAUCCAACCUGCUGAGCCUAUUAAAUGUGCCGACACUUUGAUGAAGCAAAUAAUUAGAGUAGAACGCCGGGUAGGAAAAGAUGAGGUGUCGCACAAAAGAAAAACGUUUAAACCCACCACACAUCUGGGUCUGAUUUCCAGCUGUGGUGCCUCUGGCUUGGAAACCACUGGCAAUGUGAGCGAGUGGGAAGCCUGCGAGGGAUCAUGUCCUCGUCACUGCAAGCUACUAACGCUGGUAGGUGGAAAGAAGCUACGCAAGCCUUUGAGGAUUUUCCCGAUUGUUUAUGGCUCUGGAUACAUUUUGAUUGUCUUUUUUCGUUCUAAUAAAAACUGAAUUUCAUGUGUUACUCUUCAAAUACUUGUAGAAAGGAGGAUUCACAUCUGGUUAUAAAUAGAUCCGCCCGCUGUCUUGCUGCAGAGGAGGACUAUAAUGUUUGAUUUAUUUGUGAAUACUGAAGAGAGCCUGACUGCGAAUGGUGUCCAUAUGGAUAUGAUGGUUAACUGAUGUUGCAGGGCAGGGAAGAGGGUCAACCGUCUUUUACUCAUUCACCACAAUUACAUACUGAAAACAGUGGCCCUCAAACUUUUCAUGAGGACAUGACUUGAAGGCCAUUGAGGACUUCUUGAUUUGGUUUAAUUCAGAGGUGUAAAGUAACGAAUUACAUUUACUCACGUUACUGUAAUUGAGUAGUUUUUUGUGUACUUUGUAAUUUUUUGAGUAGCUUUUGAAAUGGGUAAUUUUACUUUUACUUAAGUAGAUUUUGACUGAAGUAUUGUACUUCGCUUCAUUGGAAAUUACAUCCGUUACUGAGUAGAAAAAAAAACAGUUCAAGGCGCAAGGCAAUUCUCACUGCAGUGGUAGAUGCUGCAUAGAGUGGAUGACGUUCCCUCACGUGCACGUUCAACAUAUGAAAACUGAUCGUAAAGUUCACUGUUCGCGAAAAAUAUACGCAACAUGCAGAA